rnacentral:lncRNA from 1 species
GGGGGAAUGAAAUAUAUUUACCGUAAUUUAACUGUAGUUUAAUUUCCUUUGGUACACAGUAAGCCAAUGAUCUCUGGAGAAUGUGCUGCUGUUUAAGAGGCUUACGAACAGAGGAAAGCAUUAAAUAAUCACACAACUUCCAGAUAUUUAUGGCUACAGUGAGAUCACCUGAUGUUCAGGAUGGUUUUUGUUGUUUUUCAAUCAGCUAUUGAAUUAAUCCGGAGCAUGCAUGCACAUCCAGGCUGCUAGGCUGCGGCAGUCCCAGGGGACAUGGUGUUUUGGCAGGACCAGGCUUGUGGCAGAUGGAAAUGCCCAUGGGCCAGUCUUAGCUCUGGAGCAGGGAAAAUGGCAUUGGCAAUACUCAGCCUUGUUGUGGCACUGCCUCUGUGAUGUCAUGUUUCAUUGUAAUGCCAUAGGGUACCUCCGUGCUUACCUUAUCAGAGCAUGCUGUGAGUGGGCGUGGGAGCAGACAGGCAGAUUCACAGAACAGGCUGACGUGGAAGACAUGCUGUAGAGAAAUGUGGGAAAUCCUAUCUGCUUCAGCAUCCAGUAAAUGUGGAGAGUGGAGAAAAAAAAACCCACACCUUCUGAGAUGUUUUCAGGAAGCUAACUGAUGAGCAUGUACUAGAAAUGCUUUUUUGCUGUUGUUUUUUUUUUUUUUAACCAAACAGAAAUAUGAGAAAAGUACCAAAAACUAUUCUUUGUAAUGGUGGUAGCAGUGCUGUAAAAUGGGAAUGCCACAUCUGUCAGUUAGAAUAGUAAGUAUUCCCAUUCUGACUGCUGUAAUAAUUAUUUUAGCUUUAAAUCUCAUCAUUAAAAACACACAAGAAGUAGGAGGUGAAACUGCAAAAUCUGCAAAACGGAGAAAAUGAUGAAGCUGAGGGAUGCAGCCCUCAUUUCCUACAACCGCUCAUCUUAAAACGCUGUCCAUUACGCAGCAGAGGAAGUACUUAAAUUCAGAUUGCUGCUCAUCUCCAUUAUCCCAAGAGGAUGUGUGUGGAUGCUAAUAUCCGUGUAUUUUUGUAGAUAUCUUUUUCUUUUGGCCUUGCUGUAAAUAUCUUAUAGUAGGAAAAGUUUAAAUUUUGUGGUUAAAGUUUACUCAUUUUCAUAAUUAAAAGGACAGCAUACUCACAGAGAAAUCUUUUGAAAUCUGAGUUGAUAUGGAAAUCACCUUGUAGCUGUGAAGCUUACAAGUGUAAUAAAAUAUGGAGGAGGAUUUUUUUAAUUACA